GAUUCAUGAGGGCAGCUGAGAAAGAAGGAGAUCUUGGAGGGGGGCUGUGCCUGCCUGUGGAGCAGCUUCUUUCCUGGACCGAGUGCUCGCAAACAACACGAGAACAGAGGGAACAGCAGUGUCUGCCCGGGACCCACCUCUUGCAGGCAGCCACCUCCUCAGUUAACUGGGAACAAAAUCGGAAGCAGUUGUGCAAUGCAGCUCCUGUGCCAUCACGGCCUCCUGUGGGCUCCUUGCUGUGUUUACGGACAAACGGUUCUGGGCAGCAGACAGGCAUCUCAGAGGGAGUCCAGGAGCACACACACAUUGCACAACCCAGCACGGUCUUCUGUCCCCUGUGCUGCAGGCCUCCAGGAAGACAGGCAGCUGACACUGGGCAGGCAGGCCACCUGUAUGCUGCCCCCAGGCUGAGCACGCAUGGCGUGUGACCCAGCCUUGGAGGUGCUGUCUGGGUGCCCACGAUGCCACUCACUGUUGCCAGCCCCAGUUUCCCGUUCUGCCUGCGGUGCGGAGGAGAAGUCAGCAUGCAGUGAUUCGUGGCCACUGGGCACUCUGCCAGGCGGGGCAUGACUCUCCUGUAGUUUUGGCUGUGGGCCCCAGGUGUGGACUGUAACCCGCUUACAGGAGGAAGAUGAGCGAAAGCGGCUUUUAGGAAAAGCCUUGGGGAAGAGCCACAGGCUCCCCUGCGGAGGGCUCUGUCAGCGGGCGGGGGCAGCUGCAGUGUCUGGCAUCGGUCGGCCUGAGAAGCAGCCAUGAGCAAGAGGAGGCAGAAGCUGCAGUACCCAGACGCUGUGCUGUAUUCAAAACGAGGACCAGAGCUCCUUCCCAGGAGCCCGCUGUCCAGGUAUUGGAUCCGGCGUGGCCCUUGCCAAGCGCUCCAGCCAGUAGACCAGACGCCAUACCCAGAGGGAUUUGACACCCAGUGUUUAUUUCCCGUGUUCUGAUUUAAAUGUGCGUCACAGCCUGCACUCAGCCCGGCGCUCCUGCUGCAAACGUUCACUCCACGAGCAGCUUGAAGGUGAGGGCUUUUUCCGGUUCGUCGGCUUAUUUGAUGUUUGGUGGGAGCCCUGUGUUGUCGGUGGAAUGUGGUGUUUCUGAUCUCAGCAGGGAAGUGACUUGAAUAAGGUUAGAGAUGCCAGUAAACCCAGUUUUGAGUCCGGGUUCGCAAAGGACUGACUUUGUUUCUUCACUGCCAAAGGCUACGGGCCGCAGCCCUGCGCCUCCACCCUUACGGGACGACUGUCUUCACCUGUCAGACUAGGGCACAGCCAGAGCCUCUGUUCACCGACGUCAUCAGCAAAUGUGGAUUGGUUUAUUCGCAAUGGGGCGAGGAGACCUUGUCCCGUCUGCACUAUUAAAUUCAGGAACUCAAGGGUGCCACUGAAAGGAAGAUGCUCAGUGCUGAGGGCUGUGGGCAGGGGAAGGAGGAAAAGGGUCAGUGGGAUCUGGAUGGCAAUCCCUAGGUGAGGCAACCCUGUGUCUUUGGGGUCUCACUCAUGGAUGGGAUGGAUGGACGAGGUCCAUGGACCACAUUUAGAGGAAGG